GUCUGGUGGGUAGUUUGACUGGGGCGGUCUCCUCCUAAAGAGUAACGGAGGAGCACGAAGGUCAGCUAAUCCUGGUCGGACAUCAGGAGGUUAGUGCAAUGGCAUAAGCUGGCUUGACUGCGAGCGUGACGGCGCGAGCAGGUGCGAAAGCAGGUCAUAGUGAUCCGGUGGUUCUGAAUGGAAGGGCCAUCGCUCAACGGAUAAAAGGUACUCCGGGGAUAACAGGCUGAUACCGCCCAAGAGUUCAUAUCGACGGCGGUGUUUGGCACCUCGAUGUCGGCUCAUCACAUCCUGGGGCUGAAGUAGGUCCCAAGGGUAUGGCUGUUCGCCAUUUAAAGUGGUACGCGAGCUGGGUUUAGAACGUCGUGAGACAGUUCGGUCCCUAUCUGCCGUGGGCGCUGGAGAAUUGAGGGGGGCUGCUCCUAGUACGAGAGGACCGGAGUGGACGCAUCACUGGUGUU
rnacentral:rRNA from 1 species